rnacentral:rRNA from 1 species
CUACGGAGGGUGCGAGCGUUAAUCGGAAUUACUGGGCGUAAAGCGUACGUAGGCGGUUGGUUAAGUUAGAUGUGAAAGCCCCGGGCUUAACCUGGGAACUGCAUUUAAAACUGGCGAACUAGAGUUGAGUAGAGGGGAGUGGAAUUUCAGGUGUAGCGGUGAAAUGCGUAGAGAUCUGAAGGAACACCAGUGGCGAAGGCGACUCCCUGGACUCGAACUGACGCUGAGGUACGAAAGCGUGGGUAGCAAACAGGAUUAGAAACCCUAGUAGUCC